UCCGUCGUCACCGAACACUCCCUUGCAACUAUUCUUCCUGAAAAUCCCUUCGCUCGUACUAUGCAAAGGGGACACCAAUUUGCCUUUAAGACUACGGCGUCCCUGCAUGCACAACACUGAACAAACGGAUUAAACGCACCGAGUGGAAGAAACGUAAAAACAAAAAAAUAAAUAAAGCAAGUAAAAACGACACAACUAAAACGCCUAAAACUUUCCCCGGCAACGGCGCCAAAAUUUGACUCAAC
rnacentral:lncRNA from 1 species